rnacentral:rRNA from 1 species
GUGCCAGCAGCCGCGGUAAUACGUAGGGUGCGAGCGUUAAUCGGAAUUACUGGGCGUAAAGCGUGCGCAGGCGGCCUUAAAAGUCAGAUGUGAAAUCCCCGAGCUCAACUUGGGAACUGCGUUUGAAACUCUAAGGCUAGAAUAUGUCAGAGGGGGGUAGAAUUCCACGUGUAGCAGUGAAAUGCGUAGAGAUGUGGAGGAAUACCAAUGGCGAAGGCAGCCCCCUGGGAUAAUAUUGACGCUCAUGCACGAAAGCGUGGGGAGCAAACAGGAUUAGAAACCCGGGUAGUCC